rnacentral:rRNA from 1 species
UACGGAGGAUGCGAGCGUUAUCCGGAUUUAUUGGGUUUAAAGGGUGCGUAGGCGGCUUUUUAAGUCAGCGGUGAAAUUUUGCAGCUUAACUGUAACAGUGCCGUUGAUACUGGGGAGCUAGGAUUUGGUUGCUGUGGGUGGAAUGUGUGGUGUAGCGGUGAAAUGCUUAGAGAUCACACAGAAUAUCGAUUGCGAAGGCAGCUCACUGGGAUGCAACUGACGCUGAGGCACGAAAGCGUGGGUAUCAAACAGGAUUA